GCCCUGGUGGCAUAAUGGUUAAAUUAAGUGCUUGGCUGCUAACCAAAAGGUUAGUGGUUCAAACCCACUCAGUGGCU
rnacentral:tRNA from 1 species